rnacentral:lncRNA from 1 species
CCGUUUUCCCCUUCCAAGGACUCAUUUUCGGGCGUAAAGUGGACCGAUUUUGGCUUUUCAGGGUCGAUUUCACGUGAAAAUUCUAGCAAUUUUCAAUUCUAAUGAAAUCGAAUCGAAAUUCGAUCGAGAACCCCGACUCUUAGGAUCGUGCCCCCCCCCUUUACCUUCCUAGGAGGGCUGGGGGGGGGGGGGGGGUCCAGUGGCGUGGCGUGAAUUGCGAUAUAUCGAUUGUUAUGUCAUUUAAACCUAUGGAAAAGGAUCGAUAAGCAUGUUUCAUUCAAUGCGGGAAAUAAAGUAUACCUAAUUGAUACGUCCAAUCACAAUGAUAUCAACAUUUUUCCAAGUUCUAGACGCUCUAGCACGCUCUAGACGCUACUUUUGCAUCUUCUUCCCCUGUAAUUUUCGGGUUUCCGGUUUUAAGUAUGUUGGUUUUUCCUUUUCCGGUUUGGUAUUUGCCGUAAUCCGAGUUUCUAAUUGGCUGGCGAACGAUGUUCAUGCCAUGUUGCCAUGGCUGCGUGUUAUUUAUUGUUUUUUUCUCUUAUCACUCACUAACGUUUGUAUUGGCUUGUAGGUUGUGCAACUCAACUGGACUGACUUUAUUUUCUUCGUCAUUUUCAUUCACUUAUUUCUUCCAGCGUUUAGGAUCUAAAUGUUCUCUAAGGGACGCUUCAUCAGCGAACUUAAUUAGAAUUCACUUAACGACGACUUCACUGUGUUGUACAUGCAGGAGUGAUAUGUGUAAAGCAUGGUCUUCAGAGGUCUACCGUGGAUCUCUUUGCUCUGUUUGUGCUGGCUCUGUACCGCAGCUGGCAAUGGGGAAUCAUUAACUUUUACAACUGAUUGUAAUACUCUGCAAAUGGGCCAGUUCUUGUGUCCUGAUCCAGAUCCUGAGUAUAAUUACAUGGAUCCGAGACUCAACAACCUGCAGGAUGUACCCGAGAGAAUAAAGCCAUUGGUAUGUAAUUCCUUCAUUUCUGCAUUUCAGAAUUGCUUUAUAAUUGAAUAAAACUUAAUAUUGAUCUCUUUCCAGAAGAAUUUCUAAUUUAUUUGCUCACUGUACCAAACAGUAUUGAUAGAACCUCGGUUAAUCUAUAAGUAUUACAAGAUUGUGUAACUGCAGCGCUAAGGGAGGUCACCUCCUGGCUGGGACAUCGCCCGAAAUGAGAGCUGCUUCCGGAAAACAUCAGAAAGAUAAUCACAGCCAAAACAGCUCAAUACUUUCAAUUCCUGCGGAUGACAACCAAGACCACUCCUUAGACCUGCGGGCCGAUUAUUGAAAGUUUAAAGCAGCCCGAUAAGACAUCGAAUUGCGAUAUAUUGCAUGGUGAAGAUAGGGCUGUGUCUUGUCAUGUCAGGCCAACAUAGUUUCAAUAAUCGGGCUGCAAGGCCUUACAAAUUAAGUCAACACAAUAGCUAAAGACAUUGAAUGACGCAGACCAUGCCUCCUGUGACUACUUUUAGAAAACUGCAUGGCGCACGGACUGAUGAGUGUAGAGUGCCGCCAACCUUACAUCGGGAAGCUUAUGUGUCCCACUGCGCAUGCACAGCAGCGGCCUGAGAGAAUUUUUGUCGUAUUAUGAGGCACUUUUCUUGGUUGGUAAUUAGUUCGGGAAAGUGAAACUUUACAAUUCGGUCAUUAAAUUACUUGCUCCACACCCAUUGUUUUUUUAAUUUUGUCCGAAAAUGGACUCUGAAUGAGUUAGCCGCCCAAAACCGAGCUUGCGAAAGAAUUCUUCAUUUUCUGCAGUCUCUUCAACACACACUCAGUCCCCCUCUCCGCCUGCCCAUCAUGGAGUUCCUAGAAACUUGCCAUGCUUCCUCUGUACAAAAUCACACCAGAUGUACAGUUUACGAGAUUCAAAGUCUUUAAGUAACUAUAGCACCUGUCCGGCCGCCACAAAUAUUGUAUAGUGUUAUUUAAAUAGUGGCUAAAAGCAACUUCAGUGGAAUCAAACCAUCUUUUUUGACUGUUUGUGCUUAAUUAGAAAAAGUGUGCCUACUGAUCAAUUUUGAGGCGCUCAAAUUGUAUAUUGUUUACCUAUUGUUGAUUACCAAUGAGAUGUUGCAACAUCUCUACCAGACAUUAUAUGUAUAAAUGCCAAAAAAAUAUCUAGAUCGGCACCUAGAAAGCUCUACCACAGAAGCUCAUCAAACUCAGGAUAAUAUCGAAAUUUAGUUGGCGCCAAAUUGCUUAGUAUUCUGAGUGUACUUCUUUGCAAAUUCAAGUUGCACCCAGUCUGAAAAAUGUCCAUAUCCUGAGUCCAUGAGAGAUCAAGGGACUGACAGAAAUCAGAGUUUCUUCAAUUUUUUGUGUUAUGUUUCGACAGAACCACUCAUUAUUAAAAACUGAAGCUCCAUUUUUAUGAAAUUUUGCUCUUAACACCAAGUAAGGCCAGGACACCACCUAAAUUUUAUGUUUUUGUAGAGU